CUUGUUUUUAUUUUAUAAGUGUCCAUAAAUAAGUAUAUAUAGACAUCAAAAUCUGUCUAUGUGUGUGUAUCAUGUCAUCAGAAUUUUUCUUGCCAGUUUUUACUAAAACCUCUUCCUCCCUAAAACAUACUGAAUUCAAUUAGGUUAUCUCUUAGGUACAAUUUAUACUUAACACUGUGCUUGUACUUGGUUUUCAUAGAAAACUGUUAUCUAAUCCAGUGUUUUUAUUUUAGAUAUAUAGUUGGUGUAUCUUUAUGAGAGCAAGAAAUAGGGCUUUGUGGUUUCUUUCUUUAAGCUUGAUUGUAUUAGUAAAUGAGUAAAAUAUGAUUUCAUUUAGAAAUACUAUGAAACUAGAUUCUGAGAAAAACAUACUGAAAAUAGAGAAGAGUAAAACCUUGAUUAUUCUGUUCUCUACCAUAGCGGCCUUUUAUUUUCUCAUAGGUUACCUUUGUUCAAACCAAGCUAAUACUUGUCAUAAACAGCUGUGUUCUUGUUUCUGUCAUACACCUUUUCUUAAUUGUGUCAUCUUUGAGACACUUACCUCUUUAUCUGAACUUUCAUUAUUUGGACAUCAAAAUGAAAAUUUAGGAAUCACACAGAUUUUGAAAAAAGUUUGAGGUACACUUUGAAUUCUUCAUUAAGCUCUUAAAAACUUAUAAUCUGAAAUUCAUAGAUCAAUUUAAGUUAGAAAUUGUGAUGCUUGUUUCUAUUUUAAUUUUUUCUUCAAUCUAUUAGAGUUGUCUUCCAAAGAAGACUUAUAUUAAAAAAAAACAAAGAUCAGCUUUUGUCUAAUGCCACAAUUUACCAAUUGUUAAGUAUAAAUAUCACUUUACUAAGGAUGUUUACAUGCUCAAUUUUAUGAUUUUGAAAUUCAAAGUUCAUGGACCUUUUGUUUGUGUACCCUAGCAUAAAGCAUAAUCACCUUUUCAUAUGCUUCCU
rnacentral:lncRNA from 1 species